rnacentral:misc_RNA from 1 species
GAUGAUGAACGUAGCGAAAUGCGAUAAGUAGUGUGAAUUGCAGAAUUCAGUGAAUCAUCGAAUCUUUGAACGCACAUUGCGCCCUUUGGUAUUCCUUAGGGCAUGCCUGUUCGAGCGUCAUCUAAACCUUCAAGCCCUGCUUGGUGUUGGGUGCCUGUCCCGCCUCCGCGCGUGGACUCACCUCAAAUCCAUUGGCGGCCCCCGCGUCGGCCACGAGCGCAGCAGAAACGCGAACUCGUGAGCCCGUCCGGGCGGCUCCCAGAAGCUAACCCCCAAUUUUUGACCUCGGAUCAGGUAGGGAUACCCGCUGAACUUAAGCAUAUCAAUAAGCGGAGGA